GACGAACGCUGGCGGCGUGCCUAAUACAUGCAAGUUGAGCGCUGAAGGUUGGUACUUGUACCAACUGGAUGAGCAGCGAACGGGUGGGUAACGCGUGGGGAAUCUGCCUUUGAGCGGGGGACAACAUUUGGAAACGAAUGCUAAUACCGCAUAAAAACUUUAAACACAAGUUUUAAGUUUGAAAGAUGCAAUUGCAUCACUCAAAGAUGAUCCCGCGUUGUAUUAGCUAGUUGGUGAGGUAAAGGCUCACCAAGGCGAUGAUACAUAGCCGACCUGAGAGGGUGAUCGGCCACAUUGGGACUGAGACACGGCCCAAACUCCUACGGGAGGCAGCAGUAGGGAAUCUUCGGCAAUGGGCGAAAGUCUGACCGAGCAACGCCGCGUGAGUGAAGAAGGUUUUCGGAUCGUAAAACUCUGUUGGUAGAGAAGAACGUUGGUGAGAGUGGAAAGCUCAUCAAGUGACGGUAACUACCCAGAAAGGGACGGCUAACUACGUG
rnacentral:rRNA from 1 species